CCGGGAGCAGCCCAGCUUGAGAAUCGGGCGGCUGUGCCGUCCGAAUUGUAGUCUGGAGAGGCGUCCUCAGCGACGGACCGGGCCCAAGUCCCCUGGAAAGGGGCACCUGGGAGGGUGAGAGCCCCGUCCGGCCCGGACCCUGUCGCCCCACGAGGCGCCGUCAACGAGUCGGGUUGUUUGGGAAUGCAGCCCAAAUCGGGCGGUAGACUCCAUCCAAGGCUAAAUACAGGCGAGAGACCGAUAGCGAACAAGUACCGCGAGGGAAAGAUGAAAAGGACUUUGAAAAGAGAGUCAAAGAGUGCUUGAAAUUGCCGGGAGGGAAGCGGAUGGGGGCCGGCGAUGUGCCCCGGCCGUAUGCGGAACGGCUUUUGCUGGUCCUCCGCUCGGCUCGGGGUGUGGACUGUUGUCGGCCACGCCGACGGCCAAAGCCCGGGGGCCCUAGGUGCCCCCGGUGGCCGUCGUCGGCACGGCCGGUACCCGCGCGCCGAAAGGCGUGUCCCUCGGGGCACUUGUCACGACCGGUUUUUCAAUAAAAAUGUUUAUUGAGAAAACCAAUCUUUAAAUCCCAGUAUAGGAAAAGUCAUCCUUUCUAGUAGACAAAAGCUUGAUAAACAGAGAACCAGUAGCAUCAACUAUAUUACAGGGUUGAGCUGAGGAUGCUCAACAAUUUAUUACAGACUCACCAAUAUAUUACAUAUGGGAGGUUUUGACACAGGGGUGGGGUGGCAUGCUACUAGCUCGUGGGAAAAGUGGUGGUGGAUAACUUGACUUCUACUGGCAGUACAUCGAGCGUCGAGGUGAGGCUCGAUGGAUUUAUUCGGGGUUGGGGAAGCGGAUAAUACAAUGACCAAGACAGGAUCGCACGGGACUGACUGGGACUCCUCUAGGCGUCGGACUCGCUAUAAAACUCUUCAUCCAUGAGAUCGCCUCCAUCAACAUCUGGCCAAAUCAACAAGCUAGGUGAGUACUUGAAAGUACUCGCAAGACAGUUCGAACAAAAGAUAUAAUCAAUGAAUGCAUGAAUGCGUCACGAACAAAGUAUGAUACUCAAUUAACAACGGUAAUAUUGCAGAACUUGAUGUAUCAAAAUUUAAUAACUGAAAACCGAUCGGGUGUCUCGAGCGACGCCUCGAAAGGUAAAUAAAUAAAAAUGCAUGCCGCAGUCGGGCGUCUUAGCGACACCACAUAAAGGGCUUUAAAAGAAAUGCCACAGUCGGACGUCUGGGCAACAUCACAUAAAGGGCUUUAAAAGGAAUACCACAUUCGGACGUCUGAGCGACAUCACAGACAGGGCUUUAAAAGAAAUACCACCGUCGGACGUCUGAGCGACAUCACAGA
rnacentral:ncRNA from 1 species